CUUCCCGUGGUGUAGUGGGUAACACGAUUGACUUGCACUUUCUUGGGGACCCGGGUUCGAUACCUGGCGGCGGAGG